UACGGGGGGGGGCAAGCGUUGUUCGGAAUUACUGGGCGUAAAGGGCUCGUAGGCGGCCAACUAAGUCAGACGUGAAAAUCCCCUCGGCUUAACCGGGGAACUGCGUCUGAUACUGGAUGGCUUGAGUUUGGGAGAGGGAUGCGGAAUUCCAGGUGUAGCGGUGAAAUGCGUAGAUAUCUGGAGGAACACCGGUGGCGAAGGCGGCAUCCUGGACCAACACUGACGCUGAGUGAGCGAAAGCCAGGAGCAAAGCGGG
rnacentral:rRNA from 1 species